AGCCUGAAUCAGUGUGUGUGUUAGUGGAAGCGUCUGGAAAGGCGCGCGAUACAGGGUGACAGCCCCGUACACAAAAAUGCACAUGCUGUGAGCUCGAUGAGUAGGGCGGGACACGUGGUAUCCUGUCUGAAUAUGGGGGGACCAUCCUCCAAGGCUAAAUACUCCUGACUGACCGAUAGUGAACCAGUACCGUGAGGGAAAGGCGAAAAGAACCCCGGCGAGGGGAGUGAAAAAGAACCUGAAACCGUGUACGUACAAGCAGUGGGAGCACGCUUAGGCGUGUGACUGCGUACCUUUUGUAUAAUGGGUCAGCGACUUAUAUUCUGUAGCAAGGUUAACCGAAUAGGGGAGCCGAAGGGAAACCGAGUCUUAACUGGGCGUUAAGUUGCAGGGUAUAGACCCGAAACCCGGUGAUCUAGCCAUGGGCAGGUUGAAGGUUGGGUAACACUAACUGGAGGACCGAACCGACUAAUGUUGAAAAAUUAGCGGAUGACUUGUGGCUGGGGGUGAAAGGCCAAUCAAACCGGGAGAUAGCUGGUUCUCCCCGAAAGCUAUUUAGGUAGCGCCUCGUGAAUUCAUCUCCGGGGGUAGAGCACUGUUUCGGCAAGGGGGUCAUCCCGACUUACCAACCCGAUGCAAACUGCGAAUACCGGAGAAUGUUAUCACGGGAGACACACGGCGGGUGCUAACGUCCGUCGUGAAGAGGGAAACAACCCAGACCGCCAGCUAAGGUCCCAAAGUCAUGGUUAAGUGGGAAACGAUGUGGGAAGGCCCAGACAGCCAGGAUGUUGGCUUAGAAGCAGCCAUCAUUUAAAGAAAGCGUAAUAGCUCACUGGUCGAGUCGGCCUGCGCGGAAGAUGUAACGGGGCUAAACCAUGCACCGAAGCUGCGGCAGCGACACUAUGUGUUGUUGGGUAGGGGAGCGUUCUGUAAGCCUGUGAAGGUGUGCUGUGAGGCAUGCUGGAGGUAUCAGAAGUGCGAAUGCUGACAUAAGUAACGAUAAAGCGGGUGAAAAGCCCGCUCGCCGGAAGACCAAGGGUUCCUGUCCAACGUUAAUCGGGGCAGGGUGAGUCGACCCCUAAGGCGAGGCCGAAAGGCGUAGUCGAUGGGAAACAGGUUAAUAUUCCUGUACUUGGUGUUACUGCGAAGGGGGGACGGAGAAGGCUAUGUUGGCCGGGCGACGGUUGUCCCGGUUUAAGCGUGUAGGCUGGUUUUCCAGGCAAAUCCGGAAAAUCAAGGCUGAGGCGUGAUGACGAGGCACUACGGUGCUGAAGCAACAAAUGCCCUGCUUCCAGGAAAAGCCUCUAAGCAUCAGGUAACAUCAAAUCGUACCCCAAACCGACACAGGUGGUCAGGUAGAGAAUACCAAGGCGCUUGAGAGAACUCGGGUGAAGGAACUAGGCAAAAUGGUGCCGUAACUUCGGGAGAAGGCACGCUGAUAUGUAGGUGAAGUCCCUCGCGGAUGGAGCUGAAAUCAGUCGAAGAUACCAGCUGGCUGCAACUGUUUAUUAAAAACACAGCACUGUGCAAACACGAAAGUGGACGUAUACGGUGUGACGCCUGCCCGGUGCCGGAAGGUUAAUUGAUGGGGUUAGCCGCAAGGCGAAGCUCUUGAUCGAAGCCCCGGUAAACGGCGGCCGUAACUAUAACGGUCCUAAGGUAGCGAAAUUCCUUGUCGGGUAAGUUCCGACCUGCACGAAUGGCGUAAUGAUGGCCAGGCUGUCUCCACCCGAGACUCAGUGAAAUUGAACUCGCUGUGAAGAUGCAGUGUACCCGCGGCAAGACGGAAAGACCCCGUGAACCUUUACUAUAGCUUGACACUGAACAUUGAGCCUUGAUG
rnacentral:rRNA from 1 species